GGCGCGAAACCUUUACAAUGCGGGAAAGUGUGAUAGGGUGAUCUGGAGUGGGAAGAGCACAAGUCGUAUCUGCAACCGGGUAAAGAUCACCCGAUAACAAAGGAGAGGCCAGGCCGGUUGCCGCCGCCGCGGUAAAACCCACGUCUUGAAUGGUUCCCGAUAAUAAUGGGUCUAAAGGGUCCGUAGCCGGGUUUGCAAAUCUCCUGGGAAAUUCUGAGGGUUAACCGUUCAGCGUGCAAAGGAUACUGCCUUUCUUGGGAGCGGGAGAGGUUUGAGGUACUCCCGGGGUAGGGGUGAAAUCCGAUAAUCCUCGGGGGACCACCAGUGGCGAAGGCGUCAAUCCAGAACAGGUCCGACGGUGAGGGACGAAAGCUAGGGGAGCGAACGGGAUCAGAUACCCCGGUAGUCCUAGCCUGUAAACGAUGCACGCUAGGGUCUGGCACGGUUGUGAAUCAGUAUGUAGUGCCGUAGGGAAACUGUUAAGCACGCCGCCUGGGAAGUACGCUCGCAAGAGUGAAACUUAAAGGAAUUGGCGGGGGAGCACAA
rnacentral:rRNA from 1 species